UAAAUUCGCCACGGUAUAUAUUUAAAGCUCGUCGGCGAUUUCAAGCAUCCGUUGUUGGUUACCCCAGCAACCGAGGCAAUCGGAGAUCGUCGUGUCACACGUACUUGUUGUCGGCUCGUGUUGAUGGAAAAUCAAA